rnacentral:rRNA from 1 species
AUUAGGCUUUUCAUAAAGGUCUAGAAUGAUAGGGUUGAUGAUUUCUAAACUCUCUGGUCUAAGAUGAGAAUUUUAUUUUUAAGUAAAAAAGCUUAACUUCUUGGAGGGACGAUAAGACCCUAUAAAGCUUCACCUGGGGGUGGGUUUCUAGGGGUAAAACACAGGCGGACAGGUUGAGCUGGGGCGGCAAUUAAUAUACCAUAAUUUAAAUAACGUAAUUUACGAGACUAAAGAUCUUGACAGAGUUAGAACAAGCUACUUUAGGGAUAACAGCGCAAUUUUUUUAGAGAGAUCUUAUCGAUAGAAAAGACUUGCGACCUCGAUGUUGAAUUGAGGGUCCUAAACUAAGCAGUCAUAGUUUCAGGGAGUCUGUUCGACUUUUAAUUCCUCA